rnacentral:rRNA from 1 species
GCAACUCGCCUGCGUGAAGUCGGAAUUGCUAGUAAUCGCAGAUCAGCAUGCUGCGGUGAAUACGUUCCCGGGCCUUGUACACACCGCCCGUCACACCAUGGGAGUCGGUAACACCCGAAGCCUGUAGUCUGACCUUUUGGAGGACGCAGUCGAAGGUGGGAUCGAUGACUGGGGUGAAGUCGUAACAAGGUAAC